GUUGGAGGCGGGGCUCUACUCGACUGAACCGUGCGACUCCAGGGCACCUGCGCAGAAAGGUGCGUUAAGAUGGCGGCUGCUGGAGUCGACCGCUGCGCGGCGAUGAAAUUCCAGGGAAUUAUAACUGGAACUACUCUGUUAUGUCUCUAUUUGAAAGGCAAAAUGAAGAUGGACAAAAUGAAGGUAGUCUGUAUGUCAUUAUUAUUGCCUCCAAAACAUAUGCACAUGCACACACAUGUAUGUGUGCACUCACACAUAUGACAGAUAAACAACCUGGACAAACUACCAGUCAAGCAAACUGACCAGGAAAGGAAAUAUACUUUGCAGAAAUAAAUAUUUCAUACUUAUAGUUACAAGCUCCACUGUUUUGUCAUUUGAGAAUUCUAAUUUAAGUAAUUGCAAUCGCCCAUCUUUUGUACUUUUAUCCGUGAUUUUAUUUUGUACUUGUAUUUGGAAGUUCAUCAGGAAAGUGUGUGUUCCUUUUCCUCUCCCCAUCCUUCAAAACCACCUCCUGUUAAAAAAAAGAAAUGGUUGGAGUUCCCAUCAUGGCUCAGCAGAAACAAAUCUGCUAGCAUCCUUGAGGACUCAGGUUUAAUUCCUGGCAUCACUCAGUGGGUUAAGGAUCCAGCAUUGCCGUGAGCUGUGAUGUAGGCUGCAGAUGUGGCUUGGGCCUGGCAUUACUUUGGCUGUGGUGUAGGCCAGUGGCUACAGCUCCAAUUCAACUCCUAAGCCUGGGACCCUCCAUAUACCGCAGGUGCGGCUCUAAAAAGACAAAAAAGAAAAAAGAAAAAAAAUUGAAAAGACAUGUUCAGUGUGAAAAGAUGUUGCUGAGGCAGGUAAGAUCAUCUUUUGCAGACUAUGGACAAAGCAAGUGGAUCUGGGUAUGGUGUUAGGAUUUCUGUACCUGCCAUGCUUUCCUGUGGUGAAUCAAAGUACUAAAAAGAACUGAGUAAUCAUACCCAAGCCAUCUUUAAGAAUGAAACUGCUUGACAUGAAAAAAACCCUUUUCUGACAUAAAAUUUCAAGAAAG
rnacentral:lncRNA from 9 species